rnacentral:tRNA from 1 species
GCUCGGUUGGUCUAGUGGUAUGAUUCUCGCUUAGGGUGCGAGAGGUCCCCGGUUCAAACCCGGGAUCGAGCC